rnacentral:lncRNA from 10 species
CUCCAAGGAGUCUUGGUUCUUUUAAUUGGAAAACAGUAUUAGAAAGCAAGAUCUAGGAUCUAGGUGUGCUCCUUGAUAAUCAGAAUUCGUGGAUUUAAAUGGCAUCAUGAAGUUAAAGAAUGUGCUGCUUCCUAGUGAGGAAUUAUUCAAAGACAACCUGAAUAUAUUCAUUAGAUGAGGAAACUGAAACACACAGAGGUUAAGAAGCUUCUUCAAGAUUGUUAAAAAGUCUUCAGGGUUUAUAUUUUAUACAACACUAUUCGACAAGAAAACCAACGCUCCCAACCACUAAUCUAUGGUGCAAAUUGGAGAGAAAAAAAAAAAGGUUAAUGUUCUGGAGAGUAGGAAGUCCAAGAUCAAGGCACCAGCAGGACCAGAGUCUGAUGAAGGCCCUUUCCUCAUAAAUGACAUCAUCUAGGUGUCCUCACAUGGCUGAAGAGCGAAAAAGGGAUGAACACCGUGUCCAGAUCUCUCAUGGUCUAAUCACCUCCUAAAGGCCCCACCUCUUAAAAACUGUUCCAUUGGAGAUUAGCUUUCAACAUGAAUUUUGGAGGUACACAGAUAUUCAAACCAUAGUACUUGCUGAGAUUUUCCUAAAAUCUGCUAAAAUAUCAUUUAAAUUUGGACUAUGUAUUGUGUUUAUUGUGUUGGUCAGUGCAUUUUUUGGGAUCUCCUUACUACUCUAUGCAUUACGGUUUUUAUUUUACUUAUGUAACAUUAAAACAUGCCCUUCAAAAUACUCUGUAGUUACAUUUUAUCUUUCUUCACCUUCUAACACAAGAACAUGGAUCUUCAAAAUCUCCACUUACAAGUUUAAACAUGU